UCCUUCAAUUAUGAACAACAACAAAUAUACGGGAGUCAGUUUGCUCAAAGUACCAAAGUCUGACUGGAAUUUAAGGCACUCUUUUGAAUGUUCUGUGACGCACGCAGGAGGAUCAAGAAGUGUGACUUUGGGAAAAAAGGCCUCUUGUUCUAUGAUAAGAAAUAUCACAAUGACACUGAAACCAACAUGGGAAGUCCCAAAGACAUUUUCAUCAACAACCAGGCAAAGUUUGAGUGCAAGAUUAAUGGACCGGACCAGAACACCAUAAAUGAAAUGAAAUUCACUUGGCAAAUAAAUGGAGCUGAUGUGACGAAGAACAGCAGUGAAACAACAGACUCCACAGGGAGCAAAAUCAGCACGUUGACUCGCGACCGCUCUGAAUGGCAGACAAUCGACAACGUGCGUUGUUCUGCUAAGGGCCCAAAAACACACGUUUCUAAAGAUCUGCAUAUCAACAAAGGAGAUAAUGAACCAAAAGUAACCGUCCACGUCCUCCCAGAGGAAGACGUCAAGGAUGGAGCUGAGGUCACUCUGUUGUGUCUGGUCUCUAGCCGGGAACCGCAGGAUUUCUACAUCGCCUGGUUAGAAGAAAAUGGAUCGAAUGUCAGCGUCUAUAACGAUGGCAUCGACUUCCCCUCUAUGAAGACUGAUGAGCGCUACUCAGUUACGAGUCUUUACACCACCUCCUUGAAAAAGUGGAACAAUGACGUCAAGUUCACCUGCAAGGUGUGGCCUGGUGGCAAAACGCAGAGAGAUGUGUCUAAGAUGGUGUUUAGAUCAACUCAAUCUUUUAAACUGCGUGUCGCUAUGAGCUGCACAGAUGAUGCCAUUGAUGAGGACGAGUACAGCAGCCUGUGGUCCACCACCUCCUCCUUCAUAUUCCUCUUCAUAUCCUCUCUCAUUUACAGCAUGGUAUUCAGCCUGGUCAAGAUGAAGAGGCCAUGAGAUGAGAUUGAUGCAUAACAUGGACUUCACGUCUUCAUUUGUCUUCUAAGUAUUUUUUCUGGUUUUAAAAACAUUUAAUUGUGUGCUAGUUUUAAUGAUCAUUAUAUACAUAUUUUUAUUUAACUAUGUCACUCAAAAUAGAUUUUUCUGUGACCUGUACCAAAUAAAAGAUACAAUUGUAAUUGGUAGUCAUUUAGAUGAAUAGAUUCCCUGCAUUGGCUUCUGUUCUUGCAUUAUGAAUAGAAAUGUUGUACAUUCACUUUCUUGAAAACUUAAAUAUUAUGUGUUGGUAAAGUUUUACAAAUGUUCAUUGCCACAUAAAUAUCAAAUUGCACUGUAGUUGAGAUGUUUGUAACUUUGUCUGAUGUCAUUAUGUUGAACAAUUUGCUUUAAACACAUUUAACAGAUAUAAUAUUUACAGUGGUAUGGACAGACACAUACAAGCAUACAAGAAAACUUCGACAGUUAUUUUGUGGGUUUCAUUUCUAAACAUAUCAUCUUUAGAGAGUCCCCCCCCCCUCAUUGUCCACCUCAGGGACCCCACACCUGUUGUAGUGAAACUACAGAGCUACAAAUAAGCUUCCUCAAAACAAGAGAGCCAUCUUCCCCUGCAUGUAUUUGCAUGUCAGCAUACAACAAGGCAAUAUGUGGCUUACAUGCAAAAGAUCUGUGACAUUACAUGCAGGGUUAGAAAUAUAUAUUGUAAGAACAUGAAGAGUCCAUCUUCAAAUUGUAUGGCAGUUAAAAUAUUACUUGGGAAGUUGCACCUGAAUGAAGAUACAGCAGAGGAAUUCAUGAAGAAACACUGAUGCAUGUAAGAGUGUCAACAAAAUGUGUUGCUUUUAGGCACAUUAAUUGUAUCAUUUAUUCAAAUUAUUCUUUCAUGAAAUAUGUAAAUAUAUAUAUGAAUAAAAUGACAGCUAUUUUGAAGGAUUCAUA